CCUUUGUACACACCGCCCGUCGCUACUACCGAUUGAAUGGUCAUAGUGAGCAUGUGGGAUUGACGUCGUCACAGCGGCAACGCUGAGAUGAUGUUGAGAACUAUGGCAAACUAGGCUAUUUAGAGG
rnacentral:rRNA from 1 species